GGUGGCUCCACAGUCGCAGCAGCGCCGUCAGCGUUGACUGCAGCGCAAGCGCAGCGUUUUUAGUAGGCGGCCAGCGAGAGCGCGCAGCAGCAGCAGCAGAAAUAUCGACAGCGGCAGUAAAAGUCGUAUUGGGGGUCUGGGUUGGGUUGGAAUACAGAGUAUCCCAGAAUAUUUGAUAAAGGAUACCAGAAAAAUAAGGAAAAUUUAUCUAAACUCUUUACAUGAAAGGAAAAGGGAUGCUGCCAAAGAAAAACUCAUUGUUUUUAUUCAUUAUCGUAAAGUAGUAUGGGCAUUAAGAUACUCUACCACACACAUAUAUAUACAUGUCUAGAAAAUCUCCAACAAAUUGUACAUACUAUAGCUGUAUGGACAUACUCUUGGAUGGAUACUGGAUCUGGAUAGAAUCACUUAUUUCUUUAUCUUACACAUUACUUCACAAAUACACCCUUCUGUCCCACCAUUACAGGGUAGAAUUAGCUAUGGAAAAUUUAUGAACUGCUUAUCCUGCUCAACUUGAACUUCAACUUCAGAACUUCAACCCCAACCCAAGCCCAGACCUGCUCACAUUUGAUCUGUGUGGCCUGUGCGGAAAGGAGGAGCUGAACCUACACGGACCUUAAAUUGAGUCAUCGCCAGUGCAAUCCACAUCCGUUCAGGCCCAAUCCUACUUGGUAUGCCUGCACCGUUCGCCCGGAGACGUCGUUCGACGUAGUUCGCUCAUAAAUUUUGCAUUUGCUGUGUGAUUUUCCUUUUUAGACGCGACAAGAUUUCACUGAUUUUGUAUAUACGUAUCUACGUAUGCGUCUGCUUAUAAUAUAUCAAUGCAUAAGCAUUCUACAGUCCGCCAUCAAUCACGUAAUUCCCAGCGUGUUUUGUAGCCGUCCAUCUAUAUCUUGGCAUUGUAUCUUCUCACAGCGAACAAAGCCAGUGCCAAACGCAAAAGCCAAAAAGCCAAAACACACGAAAUCUACGUAAUAAACGAUGUUUGAAACAAAAGGCCCAUUAACGACAAAUAUAAAGUACUCAAGUGCACACUUCUGUAGCCGAUCCGAUCUUGUUCAGCUCUCCUCCAGACACCACUUGGCAAAACACUCGUUCAACAUGAUUCACUUAUCAUUGGCUUUGUGAGGGGCAUAAUGAAGUAUUGGGGUUCUUACUACGUACAACAAGUAUUUUGUGAGUUCAAAGUACGAAAUAAAAUACUCUCGUCAUCAUAUGUCGAAAUUCGAUAUGUAAAUUGGUUUCUUCUAGAUCAUUCCAAUCUUAAUUGGGUAGUUCUGGAUGUCAAUCAUACUCCUUUAUUACC